CCUACGGGGCGCAGCAGUGAGGAAUAUUGGUCAAUGGGCGGGAGCCUGAACCAGCCAAGCCGCGUGAGGGAAGAAGGUACAGCGUAUCGUAAACCUCUUUUGUCAGGGAACAAAGGCGGGGACUAGUCACCGGAUGAGGGUAUCUGAAGAAAAAGCAUCGGCUAACUCCGUGCCAGCAGCCGCGGUAAUACGGAGGAUGCGAGCGUUAUCCGGUUUUAUUGGGUUUAAAGGGUGCGUAGGCGGGCUGAUAAGUUAGCGGUAAAAUCCCGGGGCUUAACUCCGGACUGGCGUUUGAAACUGGUGGGCUAGAGUGGAGGUGAGGUAGGCGGAAUGUGCGGGGUAGGGGUGAAAUGCUUAGAGAU
rnacentral:rRNA from 1 species